ACUCUCUUUAAGGAACUCUGCAAAAUAGCACCGUAUCUUCGGUAUAAGGUGUGGUUCGCUUCGUAUUAGGAUUUACUCCGAAAGCGAAGAAACUUACAACAAAGAGUCCCUCCCGACUGUUUACCAAAAACACAGCACUCUGCUAACUCGUAAGAGGAUGUAUAGGGUGUGACGCCUGCCCGGUGCUCGAAGGUUAAUUGAUGGGGUUAGCAUUAGCGAAGCUCUUGAUCGAAGCCCGAGUAAACGGCGGCCGUAACUAUAACGGUCCUAAGGUAGCGAAAUUCCUUGUCGGUUAAAUACCGACCUGCAUGAAUGGCGUAACGAGAUGGGAGCUGUCUCAAAGAGGGAUCCAGUGAAAUUGUAGUGGAGGUGAAAAUUCCUCCUACCCGCGGCAAGACGGAAAGACCCCGUGGACCUUUACUACAGCUUGACACUGCUAUUUGGAUAAGAAUGUGCAGGAUAGGUGGGAGGCUUUGAGUAUAUGACGCCAGUUGUAUAUGAGCCAUUGUUGAGAUACCACUCUUUCUUAUUUGGGUAGCUAACCAGCUUGAGUUAUCCUCAAGUGGGACAAUGUCUGGUGGGUAGUUUGACUGGGGCGGUCGCCUCCCAAAUAAUAACGGAGGCUUACAAAGGUUGGCUCAGAACGGUUGGAAAUCGUUCGUAGAGUAUAAAGGUAUAAGCCAGCUUAACUGCAAGACAUACAAGUCAAGCAGAGACGAAAGUCGGUCUUAGUGAUCCGGUGGUUCUGUGUGGAAGGGCCAUCGCUCAAAGGAUAAAAGGUACCCCGGGGAUAACAGGCUGAUCUCCCCCAAGAGCUCACAUCGACGGGGAGGUUUGGCA
rnacentral:rRNA from 1 species